rnacentral:rRNA from 1 species
CAGCCGCCGCGGUAAUACGAAGGGUGCAAGCGUUACUCGGAAUUACUGGGCGUAAAGCGUGCGUAGGUGGUGGUUUAAGUCCGUUGUGAAAGCCCUGGGCUCAACCUGGGAAUUGCAGUGGAUACUGGGUCACUAGAGUGUGGUAGAGGAUAGUGGAAUUUCCGGUGUAGCAGUGAAAUGCGUAGAGAUCGGAAGGAACAUCUGUGGCGAAGGCGACUAUCUGGGCCAACACUGACACUGAGGCACGAAAGCGUGGGGAGCAAACAGGAUUAGAGACCCCUGUAGUCCCUGUCUCUUAUAC